rnacentral:rRNA from 1 species
AAGUUUGAUCAUGGCUCAGAACGAACGCUGGCGGCAUGCCUAACACAUGCAAGUCGAACGAGACCUUCGGGUCUAGUGGCGCACGGGUGCGUAACGCGUGGGAACCUGCCUUUAGGUUCGGAAUAACUCAGAGAAAUUUGAGCUAAUACCGGAUAAUGUCUUCGGACCAAAGAUUUAUCGCCUUUAGAUGGGCCCGCGUUGGAUUAGCUAGUUGGUGGGGUAAAGGCCUACCAAGGCGACGAUCCAUAGCUGGUCUGAGAGGAUGAUCAGCCACACUGGGACUGAGACACGGCCCAGACUCCUACGGGAGGCAGCAGUGGGGAAUAUUGGACAAUGGGCGAAAGCCUGAUCCAGCAAUGCCGCGUGAGUGAUGAAGGCCUUAGGGUUGUAAAGCUCUUUUACCCGAGAUGAUAAUGACAGUAUCGGGAGAAUAAGCUCCGGCUAACUCCGUG